rnacentral:rRNA from 1 species
UAUGGAGGGUGCAAGCGUUAAUCGGAAUUACUGGGCGUAAAGCGCAUGCAGGCGGUCUGUUAAGUCAGAUGUGAAAACCCCGGGCUUAACCUGGGAACUGCAUUUGAAACUGGCAGGCUUGAGUCUUGUAGAGGGGGGUAGAAUUCCAGGUGUAGCGGUGAAAUGCGUAGAGAUCUGGAGGAAUACCGGUGGCGAAGGCGGCCCCCUGGACAAAGACUGACGCUCAGGUGCGAAAGCGUGGGGAGCAAACAGG